GGGCAAGGGAAGCUGGUGAUGCCAUCCUACAGAUCAGCCUCCCCAGAAAAAGAACAGGUGAAUGGGAAAUCAGGAGGGGCAAAUAGAAGCUAUCCAUUUUUUUUUAAAGUCCCAGAUUCACUGUACAAUGAAAAGCCCUACUGUUUUUGUCAAGUUUGCCAGCUCCUGUGAGAAGUUCUACAAAGGAUCAUAAUAUCUGCACAAGACCAAGGUGAGAGAAAUCCAAUAUAAGUCAUGUCAUAGAAUUAUUAUUA
rnacentral:lncRNA from 1 species